CCUACGGGAGGCAGCAGUGGGGGAUAUUGCACAAUGGAGGAAACUCUGAUGCAGCGACGCCGCGUGAGGGAAGACGGUCUUCGGAUUGUAAACCCCUGUCUUUGGGGAAGAUAAUGACGGUACCUAAAGAGUAAGCUCCGGCUAACUACGUGCCAGCAGCCGCGGUAAUACGUAGGGAGCGAGCGUUGUCCGGAAUUACUGGGGGUAAAGGGAGCGUAGGCGGGCGGGAAAGUUGAAUGUUAAAUCUACCGGCUUAACUGUAAACUGCGUUUAAAACUUCUUGUCUUGAGUGAAGUAGAGGCAGGUGGAAUUCCUAGUGUAGCGGUGAAAUGCGUAGAUAUUAAGAGGAACACCAGUGGCGAAGGCGGCCUGCUAGGCUUUAACUGACGCUGAGGCUCGAAAGCGUGGGGAGCAAACAGGAUUAGAUACCCGAGUAGUC
rnacentral:rRNA from 1 species